UCGCCCUGUUUUAUCAAAAACAUAGCUUUAUGGUAUAUUUAUAUAAAGUAAUACCUGCCCAGUGAUUAUUUUAACGGCCGCAGUACUUUGACUGUGCUAAGGUAGCAUAAUAAAUUGGCUUUUAAUUGGAGUCUAGAAUGAACGGAUAAAUGAAUAAAAUCUUUUUCAAUUUAAAUUUUAAGAAGUUACUUAAAAGGUGAAAAUUCCUUUAAUAAUUUAAAUAGACGAGAAGACCCUAGGAGUUUUUUAUUUUGUUGGGGCGACAUUACAGCAAACUAUCAAACCUGUAAUAAUAAAAAGUAAUUCAACAAAUUUAUUUAAAAAAUUUAAACUACCCUAGGGAUAACAGCAUAAUUUAACUUUUUAAGUUUGUGACCUCGAUGUUGGAUUAGGAAAAUUUAAUAUUAACUGUAUUAAAGUUUUGUUCUGUUCGAACAACAUUCUCCUACAUGAUCUGAGUUUCCAAACCGGA
rnacentral:rRNA from 1 species